rnacentral:tRNA from 1 species
GCCAGUGUUGCUCAGUGGUUAGAGCACUGGCCUUCCAACCAGAAGGUCAAGGGUUCGAUUCCCGGUCAAGGGCA